AGUGGCUGCUAUCGGGAUGAGAUUAAGUCAUGCAACUGAGAGCACAGUCUAUGUUUGUGCUCCGGGCAAGUCUGAGUAACGCGUAGUCAAUCUACCCUGUGGUUGAUGAUAACCCCGGCAAACUGGGGAUAAACAUCGAUAAUCACCGUCUGUUGGAAUACUUCGGUGGUUAAAGGAGUAUAAGCAUGGUUAUACACGCCAUAGGACGAGACUGCGUCCGAUUAGGUAUUGCGUGGGGUAAUGGCCCACGUAGCCUUAUCGGUAGGGGCUAUGAGUAGUAGUAUCCCCCAGUUGAAUCCUGAGACACUGAUUCAGGGCCUAUGGGUUGCAGCAGGCACGAAACCUUCACAAUGCACGAAAGUGUGAUGAGGUCAUCCCGAGUCCUAGGCUUACGUCUAGGUUUUCUGAAGUGUUAAAAGCUUCAGGAAUAAGGAGGGGGCAAGAACGGUGCCAGCCGCCGCGGUAAACCGUCUCUUCGAGUGGCCACCGCGUUUACUGGGCUUAAAGCGUGCGUAGCGGGAUUAGUCCGUCCCACAUUAAAGACGGCUUCUUAAGAGUCCGAAGUGUGUGGGAAACAGCUAAUCUUGGCAAUGGGAUAGGGGCUCGGUACCCGUGGUGUAAAGGUGAAAUUUUAUAAUCCCACGGGGACCACCGAUGGCGAAGGCAGAGCCCUGGAACAUGUGCGACCGUCAGGCACGAAAGGGUGGGUAGCGAGCCGGAUUAGAUACCCGGGUAGUCCACCCCGUAAACGAUGCGGAUUAAGUGUAUGGGAAGCGAAUGCUUUCCAUGUGCCGUAGGGAAACCGUUAAAUCCGCCGCCUGGGAAGUACGCUCGCAAGAGUGAAACUUAAAGCAAUUGGCGGGAGAGCGCCACAAUGGGUGGAGCCUGCGGCUU
rnacentral:rRNA from 1 species